AACGAACGCUGGCGGCAGGCUUAACACAUGCAAGUCGAACGCAUCCUUCGGGGUGAGUGGCAGACGGGUGAGUAACGCGUGGGAACGUGCCCUUCAGUUCGGGAUAACCCAGGGAAACUUGGGCUAAUACCGGAUACGUGCGAGAGCAGAAAGAUUUAUCGCUGAAGGAUCGGCCCGCGUCUGAUUAGCUAGUUGGUGGGGUAAUGGCCCACCAAGGCGACGAUCAGUAGCUGGUCUGAGAGGAUGAUCAGCCACAUUGGGACUGAGACACGGCCCGAACUCCUACGGGAGGCAGCAGUGGGGAAUAUUGGACAAUGGGCGCAAGCCUGAUCCAGCCAUGCCGCGUGAGUGAUGAAGGCCUUAGGGUUGUAAAGCUCUUUCGUCCGGGACGAUAAUGACGGUACCGGAAGAAGAAGCCCCGGCUAACUAUGUGCCAGCAGCCGCAGUAA
rnacentral:rRNA from 1 species